UACGAAGGGGGCACGCGUUGUUCGGAUUCAUUGGGCGUAAAGGGUGCGUAGGCGGCGCGGUAAGUCGGGUGUGAAAUCUCGGAGCUUAACUCCGAAACUGCAUUCGAUACUGCCGUGCUUGAGGACUGGAGAGGAGACUGGAAUUUACGGUGUAGCGGUGAAAUGCGUAGAUAUCGUAAGGAAGACCAGUGGCGAAGGCGGGUCUCUGGACAGUUCCUGACGCUGAGGCACGAAGGCCAGGGGAGCAAACGGG
rnacentral:rRNA from 1 species